rnacentral:misc_RNA from 1 species
GAUGAAGAACGCAGUGAAAUGCGAAAAGUAGUGUGAAUUGCAGAAUUCAGUGAAUCAUCGAAUCUUUGAACGCACAUUGCGCCCAUUAGUAUUCUAGUGGGCAUGCCUGUUCGAGCGUCAUUAAUUCCACUUAAGCCCUGCUUAGUGUUGGGAAUCUACUCUAGUGGUGCUACCCUGGAGCUACCCCUGAAAGGGGGCUGGCCCGGUAGCUACCCUGUAGUUCCUCAAAGAUAGUGCGCGGAGUUGCGUGGUCCUCUGAGCUUAGUAACUAUACACCUAGCUUUUGAGUGUCCCGCGGCGCCUGCCGUUUAAACCCCAUCUUUUAAUGGUUGACCUCGGAUCAGGUAGGAAUACCCGCUGAACUUAAGCAUAUCAAUAAGCGGAGGA